rnacentral:rRNA from 1 species
GGAGUAAUGAUCUCGUUGGUGACCAGCGGAGGGAUCAUUACAGAGUUGCAAAACUCCCUAAACCAUUGUGAACGUUACCUAUACCGUUGCUUCGGCGGGCGGCCCCGGGGUUUACCCCCCGGGCGCCCCUGGGCCCCACCGCGGGCGCCCGCCGGAGGUCACCAAACUCUUGAUAAUUUAUGGCCUCUCUGAGUCUUCUGUACUGAAUAAGUCAAAACUUUCAACAACGGAUCUCUUGGUUCUGGCAUCGAUGAAGAACGCAGCGAAAUGCGAUAAGUAAUGUGAAUUGCAGAAUUCAGUGAAUCAUCGAAUCUUUGAACGCACAUUGCGCCCGCCAGCAUUCUGGCGGGCAUGCCUGUUCGAGCGUCAUUUCAACCAUCAAGCCCCCGGGCUUGUGUUGGGGACCUGCGGCUGCCGCAGGCCCUGAAAAGCAGUGGCGGGCUCGCUGUCGCACCGAGCGUAGUAGCAUACAUCUCGCUCUGGUCGCGCCGCGGGUUCCGGCCGUUAAACCACCUUUUAACCCAAGGUUGACCUCGGAUCAGGUAGGAAGACCCGCUGAACUUAAGCAUAUCAAUAAGGCGGAGGAA